UACGUAGGGUGCAAGCGUUAAUCGGAAUUACUGGGCGUAAAGCGUGCGCAGGCGGCUUUGUAAGUCUGCUGUUAAAUAGUGAGGCUCAACCUCAUAAAGGCAGUGGAAACUACACGGCUAGAGUGCGUUCGGGGCAGAGGGAAUUCCUGGUGUAGCGGUGAAAUGCGUAGAGAUCAGGAAGAACACCGGUGGCGAAAGCGCUCUGCUAGGCCGCAACUGACACUGAGGGACGAAAGCUAGGGGAGCGAGUGGG
rnacentral:rRNA from 1 species